GGGCACCCCAGGUGGCUAUCUUGAGUCAUGAUGCUGUAGGAGGCUUUGUGUCACACUGUGGGUGGAAUUCGACUUUAGAGAGCAUGUGGUUCGGAGUACCACUGGCAACUUGGCCAAUCUAUUCGGAGCAGCAAGCGAAUGCAUUUCAAUUGGUGAAGGAUUUAGAGAUAGCAGUGGAGAUUAAGAUGGAUUAUAGGAAGGAUCUCAGAGGGACCGAAUCGAAUGUUAUAGUAAAAGCAGAGGAGAUA
rnacentral:misc_RNA from 1 species